rnacentral:rRNA from 1 species
GUGGGGAAUAUUGGACAAUGGGCGAAAGCCUGAUCCAGCCAUGCCGCGUGUGUGAAGAAGGUCUUCGGAUUGUAAAGCACUUUAAGUUGGGAGGAAGGGCAGUAAGUUAAUACCUUGCUGUUUUGACGUUACCGACAGAAUAAGCACCGGCUAACUUCGUGCCAGCAGCCGCGGUAAUACGAAGGGUGCAAGCGUUAAUCGGAAUUACUGGGCGUAAAGCGCGCGUAGGUGGUUCAGUAAGUUGGAAGUGAAAUCCCCGGGCUCAACCUGGGAACUGCUCUCAAAACUGCUGAGCUAGAGUACGGUAGAGGGUGGUGGAAUUGCCUGUGUAGCGGUGAAAUGCGUAGAUAUAGGAAGGAACACCAGUGGCGAAGGCGACCACCUGGACUGAUACUGACACUGAGGUGCGAAAGCGUGGGGAGCAAACAGGAUUAGAAACCCUAGUAGUCC